rnacentral:rRNA from 1 species
CGGAGGGGCUAGCGUUGUUCGGAAUUACUGGGGCGUAAAGCGCACGUAGGCGGACCAGAAAGUUGGGGUGAAUCCGGGGCGUCAACCUCGGAACUGCCUUCAAAACUAUUGGUCUGGAGUUCGAGAGAGGUGAGUGGAAUUCCGAGUGUAGAGGUGAAAUUCGUAGAUAUUCGGAGGAACACCAGUGGCGGAAGGCGGCUCACUGGCUCGAUACUGACGCUGAGGUGCGAAAGCGUGGGGAGCAAACAGGAUU